AUGCAGUCGAACGGUAACAGGCCGCGCUCAUCCUUCGGGGUGUUGUGGCGCUGACGAGUGGCGGACGGGUGAGUAAUGCUUAGGAAUCUACCCAGAAGUGGGGGACAACCCGAGGAAACUCGGGCUAAUACCGCGUGAGCCCUACGGGGGAAAGCGGGGGACUCUUCGGAGCCUCGCGCUUUUGGAUGAGCCUAAGUCGGAUUAGCUUGAUGGUGAGGUAAAAGCUCACCAUGGCGACGAUCCGUAGCUGGUCUGAGAGGACGAUCAGCCACACUGGGACUGAGACACGGCCCAGACUCCUACGGGAGGCAGCAGUGGGGAAUAUUGGACAAUGGGGGCAACCCUGAUCCAGCAAUGCCGCGUGUGUGAAGAAGGCCUGCGGGUUGUAAAGCACUUUCAGUAGAGAAGAAAAGCUCGAGGUUAAUACCCUCGGGUCUUGACGUAACCUAAAGAAGAAGCACCGGCUAACUCCGUGCCAGCAGCCGCGGUAAUACGGAGGGAGCGAGCGUUAAUCGGAAUUACUGGGCGUAAAGCGCGCGUAGGCGGCUUUGUAAGUCGGAUGUGAAAGCCCUGGGCUCAACCUGGGAAUGGCAUUCGAUACUGCAGAACUAGAGUA
rnacentral:rRNA from 1 species